AAAUUUGAAGAUCUGGCACCUUCGGUGUCCGAGUUGUAAUUUGAAGAAGGUAACUUUGGAGUUGGCUCUUGUCUAUGUUCCUUGGAACAGGACGUCACAGAGGGUGAGAAUCCCGUGCGAUGAGAUGUCCAACUCUAUGUAAAGUGCUUUCGAAGAGUCGAGUUGUUUGGGAAUGCAGCUCUAAGUGGGUGGUAAAUUCCAUCUAAAGCUAAAUAUUGGCGAGAGACCGAUAGCGAACAAGUACAGUGAUGGAAAGAUGAAAAGAACUUUGAAAAGAGAGUGAAAAAGUACGUGAAAUUGUUGAAAGGGAAGGGUUUGAGAUCAGACUUGGUAUUUUGUAUGUCUUGCUUUCGGGUGGGGCCUCUGCAGUUUACUGGGCCAGCAUCGGUUUGGACGGUAGGAUAAUGACAUUGGAAUGUGGCACUACUUCGGUGGUGUGUUAUAGACUUUGUUGAUACUGCCUGUCUAGACCGAGGACUGCGUCUUUGACUAGGAUGCUGGCAUAAUGAUCCUAAACCGCCC
rnacentral:rRNA from 1 species